AAACCAUAUGCAUCAGUCCAGAAAACCCAGAAAAAGAUGCUACUCUGAGACGUCGACAUCAACCACCCUCACGUCUCUUUUUCCCCCUUUCGCGGAAGUCACAAUUUUUUCCCAUCUCUUUACACUGUUGCCUUGAAAAGGGAAUAUGAAUUCGAAUUUCAAAUUCAAAAUUUCGACCGUUUCCCCCCUAAAUCAACCUCAAAUCCCUCUAUAUAAACCUCCAUCUUCUUUAAUACUUGGGGUGGGGAAAAGAGAGGAGGAUUAAGAGAAGUUG
rnacentral:lncRNA from 1 species